rnacentral:rRNA from 1 species
AGCUCCAAGAGCAUAAAUCAAAGUUGUUGCAGUUAAAAAGCUCGUAGUUGGACUUCUGGUUUAAUGCACCUGGCCUGUAAGUGCCGGCGCGCGUUUACCAUCCUUCUAAAACGGGUCUUCCCUUAACUGGAUCUAGAUCAUUUACUUUGAAAAAAUUAGAGUGUUUAAAGCAGGCUUUUGUAAUAAUCUAGGACUUCGGUUCUAUUUUGUUGGUUUCUAUGACUGAAGUAAUGAUUGAUAGGGAUAGUUGGGGGUGCUAGUAUUGGCCGGUCAGAGGUGAAAUUCUUGGAUUCGGUCAAGACUAACUUAUGCGAAAGCAUUCACCAAGGAUGUCUUC